rnacentral:tRNA from 1 species
UGGGUUGUGGCUCAGUGGUAGAGUGCUCGCCUAGCAUGUGUGAGGCCCUGGGUUCCAUCCUCAGCACCACAU